rnacentral:misc_RNA from 1 species
GAUGAAGAACGUAGCGAAAUGCGAAAAGUAAUGUGAAUUGCAGAAUUCAGUGAAUCAUCGAAUCUUUGAACGCACAUUGCGCCCGCCAGUAUUCUGGCGGGCAUGCCUGUCUGAGCGUCAUUUCAACCCUCAUGCCCUAGGGCGUGGUGUUGGGGAUCGGCCAGCGCCCGCGAGGGACGGCCGGCCCCUAAAUCUAGUGGCGGACCCGUCGUGGCCUCCCCUGCGAAGUAGUGAUAUUCCGCAUAGGAGAGCGACGAGCCCCUGCCGUUAAACCCCCAACUUUCUAAGGUUGACCUCAGAUCAGGUAGGAAUACCCGCUGAACUUAAGCAUAUCAAUAAGCGGAGGA